GAGGAGCCCAGGGACAUAUUUCACAGCUAAGUCAACUGCUUUUCUUCAAAUUCAGAUUUAAUCCGUGAGCGAAAUGAGUCACUGGCUCAUCCAGUUAAGAUCAUCACCCACUUUCCUAACAAAACUUCUCUUCAAAGAAGGACUCGCUCAUCCAUCAGGUGGACCUCCACAGGAACAAAUAAUAUCCAUGUCAGGCGGCACCAAACCUAAAUCUGCUUCUGCCUCAGCAGACAGGACAUGAGAUUAGUGCCACCAUCAAGGACUUGAAAGAUGCAGGGGUGAUGAUUCCCAACCCAUUCCUGUUCAACUCUCCCACUUGGCCUGUGCAGAAGACAGAUGGAUCUUGGAGAAUGACAGUGAAUUAUCAUAAGCUUAACCAAGUGGUGACUCCAAUUGCAGCUGCUGUAGCAGAUACGGUUUCAUUGCUUGAGCAAUGUGUACCUGGUAUGCAGCCAUUGACUUGGCAAAUGCCUUUUUCUCCAUACCUGUCCAUAAGGCCCACCAGAAGCAAUUUGCCUUCAGCUGGCAAGGCCAGCAAUAUACCUUUAAGUCCUACCUCAGAGGUAUAGCAACUCUCCAGCUCUGUGUCAUAAUCUUAUUCGGAGAGACCUUGACUGCUUUUUGCUUCUGCAAAGUAUCACACUGGUCCAUUACAUUGAUGACAUUAUGCUGAUUGGAUCCAGUGAGCAAGAAGUAGCAAAUACACAGGACUUACUGGUGAGACAUUUGUGUGCCAGAGGAUGGGAGAUAAAUCUGACUAAAAUUAAGGAAACUUCUACCUCAGUACAAUUUUUAGGGGUCCAGUGGUGUGAGGCCUGUCGAGAUAUUCCUUCUAAGGUGAAGGAUAAGUUGCUGCAUUUGGCCGCUCCUACAACCAAGAAAGAGGCACAAUGCCUACUGGGCUGAUUUGGAUUUUGGAGGCAACACUGUCUUCAUUUGGGUGUGUUACUGUGGCCCAUUUAUCAAGUGACCUCUAAGGCUGCCAGUUUUGAGUGGGGUCCAGAACAGGAGAAGGCUCUGCAACAGGUCCAGGCUGCUGUGCAAGCUGCUCUGCUACUUGGGCCACAUGACCCAGCAGAUCCAAUGGUGCUUGAGGUGUCAGUAGCAGAUAGGGAUGCUAUCUGGAGCCUUUGGCAGGCCCACAUAGGUGAAUCAUGGCAGAGGCCUGUAGUAUUUUAGAGUGAAGCCCUGCCAUCUUCUGCAGAUAACUAUUCUUCUUUUGAGAGACAGCUCUUAGACUGUUAUGGAACUUUGGUGGAAACUGAACAUUUGACUAUGGGUCAUCAAGUCACCAUGUGACCUGAACUGCCUAUCAGGAACUGGGUGCUUUCUGACCCACCUAGUAAUAAGGUGGGUCAUGCACAGCAGCAUUCCAUCAUCAAAUGGAAGUGGUAUAUAUGUGACUGGGCUCAAGCAGGUCCUGAAGGAACAAGUAAGUUAAAUGAGGAAGUGGCUCAAAUGCCCAUGGUCUCUACUGUCACCCUGCCUGCUCUCCCCCAAGCUGCACUGAUGGCCUCAUGGGGAGUUCCCUAUAAUCAGUUGACAGAGAAAGAGAAGACCUGGUUCAGAGACGAUUCUGCAUGAUAUUCAGGAACCAUGCAAAAGUAGACAGCUAUAGCACUACAGCCCUUUUCUAGGACAUCCCUGAAGUACAGCAGUGAAGGGAAAUCUUCCCAGUUGGCAGAACUUUGAGCAGUGAUCCUGGUUGUGCACUUUACAUGGAAGGAGAAAUGGCCAGGUGUGCGAUUAUAUACUGAUUCAUGGGCUGUAGCCAAUGGUUUGGCUGGAUGGUCAGGGAAUUGGAAGAAGCAUGAUUGGAAAAUUGGUAACAAAUUUGGGGAAGAGGUAUGUGGAUGGACCUCUGAGUGGCCAAAAACUGUGAAGAUAUUUGUGUCCCAUGUGAGUGCUCACCAAUGGGUGACCUCAGCACAGGAGAUUUUAAUAAUCCAGUGGAUAGAAUGGCCUGUUAUGUGGACACCACUCGGCCUCUUUCCCCAGCCACCCCUGUCGUCACCCAAUGGGCCCAUUAACAAAGUGGCCAUGGUGGUAGGGAUGGAGGUUAUGCAUGGGCUCAGCAACAUGGACUUCCACUCACCAAGGGUGAUCUGGCUAUGGCCACUGCUGAGUGCCCAAUUUGCCAGCAGCAGAGACUAACACUGAACCCUUGAUAUAGCACCAUUACUCAGAGUGAUUAGUCAGCUACCUGGUGGCAGGUUGAAUAUAUUCAACCUCUUCCAUCAUGGAAAGGGAAGAGGUUUGUCCUCACUGGAAUAGACACUCUGGAUAUAGAUUUGCCUAUCCUGCACACAAUGCUUCUGCCAAGACUACCAUCUGUGGAUUCACGGAAUGCUUUAUCCACUGUCAUGGUAUUCCACACAGCAUUGCCUGACCAAGGCACUCACUUUAUGGCUAAAGAAGUGUAGCAGUAGACUCAUGCUUAUGGAAUUCACUGGUCUUAUGUUCCCCAUCAUCCUGAAGCAGCUGGAUUGAUAAGACUGGUGGAAUGGCCUUUUAAAGUCACAAUUACAACACCAGCGAGGUGACAAUACUUUGCAGGGCUGGGACAAAGUUCUCCAGAAGGCCGUGUAUGCUCUGAAUCAGCAUCCAAUAUAUGGUACUGUUUCUCCCAUAGCCAGGAUUCAUGGGUCCAGGAUUCGAGGGAUGGAAGUGGAAGUGGAGAUGGCACCACUCACCAUCACCCCUAGUGAUCCACUAGAAAAUUUUUGAUCCUCUUCCCAUGACAUUAUGUUCUGCUGGCCUAAAGGUCUUAGUUCCAGAGGGAGGAAUGCUGCCACCAGGAGACACAACAACGAUUCCAUUAAACUGGAAGUUAAGAUUGCCACCUGGAUACUUUGGGCUUCUCCUCCUGUCUUUAAGUCAACAGGCUAAGAAGGGAGUUACAAUGUUGGCUGGGGUGAUUGACCCAGACUAUCAAGAUGAAGUCAGUCUACUACUCCAUAACUGAGGUAAGGAAGAUUAUGCAUGGAAUACAGGAAAUUCAUUAGGGCAUCCCUUAGUAUUACGAUGCCCUGUGAUUAAGGUCAAUGGGAAACUACAACAGCCCAAUCCAGGCAGGACUACAAAUGGCCCAGAACCUUCAGGAAUGAAGGUUUGGAUCACUCCACCAGGAAAAAAACCAUGACCUGCUGAGGUGCUUGCUGAAGGCAAAGGGAAUACAGAAUGGGUAGAAGAAGGUAGUCAUCAAUACCAGCUACAACCACAUGACCAGCUGCAGAAAUGGGGACUGUAAUUGUCAUGAGAAUUUCCUCCUUCUUUUGCUAAAAUCAUGUUUGUACAUGUAUACACUUGCACUAAAAAAAAAUCUUCAUUUUAUUUCCUUUUUCUCUAUGAUGUGACAUAAGAUUUAUUGACUUCAUAGCAGCAUUUAAGUAUUGUUAACUUUAUAUAAUAGUAUUUGGGCUGAGGAUUGGUGCCUUUCUGGUUGUAUGAAGGAUAGUUGUAUUAUGUUAGGUGUAAUUAUGACAUUAUUGUCUUUAAGAUUAUGUAUGAUCUCAGGAGAUGUGUAUGGCUUCAAGUUAACAGGGGUUGGAAUUGUGAUGGUUAAUGCUGUGUGUCAACUUGAUUGGAUUGAAGGAUACAAAGUACUGAUCUUGGGUGUGUUGGUGAGGGUGUUGCCAAGAGAUAUUAACAUGUGAGUCAGUGGGCUGGGGAAGGCAGAUCCACCCUUAAUCUGGUGGGCACAAUCUAAUUAGCUGCCAGUGAAUAUAAAGCAGGCAGAAAAAUGUGAAAAGGAGAGAUGGGCCUAGCUUCCAGCCUACCUCUUUCUCCCAUGCUGGAUGCUUCCUGCUUUCGAACAUUGGACUCCAAGUUCUUCAGUUUCGGGACUUGGACUGGCUCUCCUUGCUCCUCAGCUUACAGAUGGCCUGUUGUGGGACCUUGUGAUCAUACACGUUUAUACUUAAUAAAUUCCCCCUUAUAUAUAUAUAUCUAUGUAUAUCCUAUUAGUUCUUUCCCUCUAGAGAACCCUAAUACACCAUCCUUGAUUAAAUCCCUUUACCCUCUCUCCAUCUUUGUAAAAAUUCUCCUCAUUAAAUUAUUGUUCAGUG
rnacentral:lncRNA from 1 species